rnacentral:rRNA from 1 species
CAGCCGCCGCGGGAAUACGAAGGGGGCUAGCGUUGUUCGGAUUUACUGGGCGUAAAGCGCACGUAGGCGGACUUUUAAGUCAGGGGUGAAAUCCCGGGGCUCAACCCCGGAACUGCCUUUGAUACUGGGAGUCUUGAGUUCGAGAGAGGUGAGUGGAAUUGCGAGUGUAGAGGUGAAAUUCGUAGAUAUUCGCAGGAACACCAGUGGCGAAGGCGGCUCACUGGCCCGAUACUGACGCUGAGGUGCGAAAGCGUGGGGAGCAAACAGGAUUAGAUACCCCGGUAGUCCCUGUCUCUUAUAC